GACGAACGCUGGCGGCGUGCUUAACACAUGCAAGUCGAACGGAAAGGCCCUGCUUUUGUGGGGUGCUCGAGUGGCGAACGGGUGAGUAACACGUGAGUAACCUGCCCUUGACUUUGGGAUAACUUCAGGAAACUGGGGCUAAUACCGGAUAGGAGCUCCUGCUGCAUGGUGGGGGUUGGAAAGUUUCGGCGGUUGGGGAUGGACUCGCGGCUUAUCAGCUUGUUGGUGGGGUAGUGGCUUACCAAGGCUUUGAAGGGUAGCCGGCCUGAGAGGGUGACCGGCCACCUUGGGACUGAGAUACGGACCAGACUCCUACGGGAGGCAGCAGUGGGGAAUAUUGCACAAUGGGCGGAAGCCUGAUGCAGCAACGCCGCGUGCGGGAUGACGGCCUUCGGGUUGUAAACCGCUUUCGCCUGUGACGAAGCGUGAGUGACGGUAAUGGGUAAAGAAGCACCGGCUAACUACGUG
rnacentral:rRNA from 1 species